rnacentral:rRNA from 2 species
AAAUUGAAGAGUUUGAUCAUGGCUCAGAUUGAACGCUGGCGGCAGGCCUAACACAUGCAAGUCGAACGGUAACAGGAAGCAGCUUGCUGCUUUGCUGACGAGUGGCGGACGGGUGAGUAAUGUCUGGGAAACUGCCUGAUGGAGGGGGAUAACUACUGGAAACGGUA